GUCGGCUUACAGUGGAGUGGAAGAAUCAAGAGAAUUUCUACAACUGCAGUCUAAAGAUAUGUCUGUCUGUCUAUCUAUCUAUCUAUCUAUCUAUCUAUCUAUCUAUCUAUCUAUCUAUCUAUCUAUCUAUCUAUCUAUCUAUUUGAGACAGGUAUGGCUACGUAGUCCAGGCUGUCCUUGAACUUGGGGUCCACCCGCCUCUGUUUUGUCAGUGCUGAGAUGAGCCAGCUACCAUGCCCAGUUUGAGGCCGGUGGUUGUCCUAAUUCUGAAAGGGGAAACGAGAGACUAAAUAACUAAUUAAUUCUGUGUUGUGGCGCCUUGGACAAAGCGUUUCUCUUUUUAAAAUUCUUUACGCGUUUGAGCGUUUUGCCUGCAUGUAUGUGCCCCAUGUGCACGCACCCCAAAGAGUUCAGGAGAAGGCAUCAGGUUCCCUAGACUGGAAUCACGGAUGCUUGUGAGCCACCAUGUGGGUCCUGGGAACGCACCGUAAAAGCAAGGAGUGCUCUUAACUGCUGAGCUAUCUCUCCAGCCCCUGGCAAAAUAGUUCUCAACUGACCUAAGUCUGUAUACAAAGUGGAACAGAAUUUGACCCAAAGGUUAAGGCAGCAAAGGGUACAAAUGCAAGGACAGGGACAGCUGCUCUGACAGCUAAUCUUCAUUGUCAGUUCGACAGGAUCUAGUGUCACCAACGAAGCAAACCUCUGGGUAGGUUUGUGAGGGAUUUUCUAGAUAGCUCAGUUGAGGUGGGGAGGCAACCCCUCACUGUCGCCUGGCGUCUUACUGUAGGAUGGGGACUGAAUGAAAAGAACUGAACUGAGGGCCAGCGUUCCUCUCUCUCUGCUUCCUGACUGGAUCCAGUGUGAGCCAGCUGCCUCUUGCUCCAGCCGGGAGCCAGGAUAAUCGCUUCCUUGCGUGGCUGGUGGCUGUCGUUACAUU
rnacentral:lncRNA from 1 species